rnacentral:pre_miRNA from 1 species
AGUGGGAUAACUGGGUCAAGUGGUGGUUCCAUUCCAAGUUUUCUGAGGAAUCUCCAUACUGCUUUUCAGGGUGGUUGCACCAAUUUGUAGUCCCACCAGCAAU